rnacentral:tRNA from 1 species
GCAUCCAUGGCUGAAUGGUUAAAGCGCCCAACUCAUAAUUGGCGAA